rnacentral:rRNA from 1 species
AACGAACGCUGGCGGCAGGCUUAACACAUGCAAGUCGAGCGCGCCGCAAGGGGAGCGGCAGACGGGUGAGUAGCGCGUGGGAACGUACCCUUUACUACGGAAUAGCUCCGGGAAACUGGAAUUAAUACCGUAUGUGCCCUUCGGGGGAAAGAUUUAUCGGUAAAGGAUCGGCCCGCGUUGGAUUAGCUAGUUGGUGGGGUAAAGGCCUACCAAGGCGACGAUCCAUAGCUGGUCUGAGAGGAUGAUCAGCCACAUUGGGACUGAGACACGGCCCAAACUCCUACGGGAGGCAGCAGUGGGGAAUAUUGGACAAUGGGCGCAAGCCUGAUCCAGCCAUGCCGCGUGAGUGAUGAAGGCCUUAGGGUUGUAAAGCUCUUUCACCGAUGAAGAUAAUGACGGUAGUCGGAGAAGAAGCCCCGGCUAACUUCGUGCCAGCCGCCGCCGUAACAC